UACGGGGGGGGUAAGCGUUGUUCGGAAUUACUGGGCGUAAAGGGCUCGUAGGCGGCCAACUAAGUCAUACGUGAAAUCCCUCAGCUUAACUGGGGAACUGCGUGUGAUACUGGAUGGCUUGGAUUUGGGAGAGGGAUGCGGAAUUCCAGGUGUAGCGGUGAAAUGCGUAGAUAUCUGGAGGAACACCGGUGGCGAAGGCGGCUCUCUGGUACGUGACUGACGCUGAGACGCGAAAGCGUGGGGAGCAAACAGG
rnacentral:rRNA from 1 species